GGAGCAGCCAUUCCAUCAUCAUCCAGAAUUUGCAUCCUAUCAGCUUCAGGUCCUUGACGCUGUGGUUUAAUUAUUCUAUCCGAUGUGCCAUUCUCAUACUUCUGACAUAUGGCUGAAUAUUUUUUCAUCACUAUGCAACGCCCAAAACCUCGAUCUAAAGAAGACUUGUUCAUUACUAUUGCAUCCUCAAUGUCAUAGCCACUAUAACUCAUC
rnacentral:misc_RNA from 1 species